rnacentral:rRNA from 1 species
UACGUAGGGGGCAAGCGUUGUCCGGAAUCAUUGGGCGUAAAGCGCGUGUAGGCGGCUGACUAAGUCCGCUCUGAAAGCCCGGGGCUCAACCCCGGGAGGCGGAUGGAUACUGCAAGGCUCGAGUCCGGAAGAGGCGAGUGGAAUUCCCGGUGUAGCGGUGAAAUGCGCAGAUAUCGGGAGGAACACCAAUGGCGAAGGCAGCUCGCUGGGACGGUACUGACGCUGAGACGCGAAAGCGUGGGGAGCAAACAGG